rnacentral:lncRNA from 1 species
GACACAGCAACAAGACGCCUUCUUGGAAGCAGAGAGAUGGGACCGUCAGCAGGCACCAAACCUGCUGGCACCUUGAUCUUAGGCUUCCUGGCCUCCAAAACUGUAAGAGUAAAGAAAAAGAAUGAAGAAAAAGAGAAAGAAGAGAAAGGGAAGAUGCAACAGGCAGCAGAUGGUUGGGAAAAAAUUAAAAGAGAAGAUGAGAAAUAUGAAGAAAGAGGAGAAGAUUUGAAGAAAAUAAAGCAAAAUGUUGAUUUGACUUAAGUGAUGAUUACAGAAGUCCUAAUUGACCAACUGGUAUCCUAAAGUCUUGAAAGAGUUCAAAACACAUGCAUGCACACCCAAAAGAAUCACACCAGAGGAACCAAGUAAAUGCACUGGAAUCCCUCAUCUUCUAAGCACCUGACUGAAGUGGAGCUUUGGGUCCUCCAGCCAUUGUGCAGUUAUUUAAACAUAACUGUAAUUUAAAAAUAAAAAAAUAAAAAAACUGGCCAGGCAAAGCGAAGUGGCUCAUGCCUGUAAUCCCAGCACUUUGGGAGGGCGAGGAGGGCGGAUCGCUUGAGGUAAGGAGUUCUAGACCAGCCUGGCCAACAUGGCAAAACCCCAUCUCUACUAAAAAUACAAAAAUUAGCCAGGCAUGGUGGUGCACACCUGUAAUCCCAGCUACUCGGGAGGCUGAGGCAGAAUUGUUUGAACCCAGGAGGUGGUGGCUACAGUGAACCGAGAUCAAGAUUGUGCCACUGCACUCCAGCCUGGGAGACAGAGGGAAACUGGUCUCAAAAAACAAACAAACAAGCAAAAACUAAGUUACAAAGAAUCAUAUACAUUAGUAAACUUAAAUUAUCUUAACACUUAGUAGUACAAGGUAACAGGUAGUAUACGAGCAAGAUGAUGGAUGUACUGUUUGUUUCUUUCUUUAUGAAUACCGCAGAAGAAACUUCACUUAAGGCUGAGUGCGGUGCCUCAUGCCUGUAAUCCCAGCUCUUUGAGACGCCAAGGCAGAUCACUUGAGAUCAGGAGUUCAAGACCAACCUGGCCAACAUGGUGAAACCCCAUCUCUACUAAAAAUACAAAAAAAUAGCUGGGCAUGGUGGCAGGUGCCUGCAAUCCCAGCUACUCAGGAGGCUGAGGCAGAAGAAUCGGUUGAACCCAGGAGGUGGAGGUUGCAGUGAGCUCAGAUUGCUCCACUGCACUCCAACCUGGAUGACAGAGUUAGACAAGAAAAGAAAGAGAGAGAGAGAAAGAAAAAGAAAGAGAGAGAGAGAGAGAGAGAGAAAGAAAGAAAGAAAGAAAGAAAGAAAGAAAGAAAGAAAGAAAGAAAGAAAGAAAAGAAAAGAAGAAGAGAAUGAGAGAGAGAGAGGAGAGGGAAGGAGAGAGAGAGAGAGAGACAGAGAGAGAGAAAGGAAGGGAAGGAAAGAAACUUCACACAACUGCUGGCAAGUUGGCUCAAUUACCAAUGUAACAAACACCUAAAGCAAUUGUCCAGCCCCUACCCACGUUUUCCUCUGACUCACUAUUUCACCUUCAGUAAACCCUCAGUGACUCCGGUCUAUGAAACAUUGCCAAUACUUCUAAGAUCUUCAAAUACAAAAUUCUAUUAUACAAUCAUCCCUGGGUAUCCAUGGGGGACUGGUGAAAACCACAAUAGCAAAAUCCUCUGAUGCUCAAGUCUCUUACAUGAAAUGGUACAGUAUUUGCAUAUAACCUAUAUACAUUCUCGGGUGCACUUUCAAUCAUCUCUAGGUUACUUAUAAUACCAAAUGUGAUGUAAAUGCUAUGUAAAUAGUUGUUACGCUACAUUGUUUUUAUUUGUAUUUUUUAUUGUAUUGCAAUUUUUAUUUCUUUUUUUAAUAUUUUCAAUCCUCAGAUACAAAGGGUCAACUGUAUAUCAAACUAUCAUCAAUACUAAGCAUGCAGAAUGUUAUAAAAGUAUGUCAACUAUGACAUAUGAUGUCAGCACCUCAAACCAAAUUUCACUUCAGUUUAGGUUUGAUUUGAAAACAUUUUGAUGUUAUGGUUCUGUGGUUUUACAGAAUACUUAAGACUGGUUUGGGUUUGAAUAGGUUGAGUAGGUUUAAAGUGAAACAUUUCUUCAUUGGUUUGUGGUUAACCAAUUUAUUGUUUCAGAAAUUAAAGCUGGUUAGCCAGGCCCAGGUUUGAGUUCCAAGUUCAAUUCAGUUCAAGUUCCUGGCAAAUGUACAAUGAGAAAAGUUUAUGAUUCCAAAAUUAUUAUGUGCCAAAGAUCCCAACUUCCUCAAAAACCACAAGUCUCUCACAACCCUCUCUUAUUUUUGAUGGGAUAAGAGAAAUGUGCCAGCAAGAGGCUGCCCACAGCAUCAACCCAAAGUCAAACCGAAGACAGGCAACACCUCAUCUGAGAGUAAAGAAGACCCCUAUGGUUUCACUUUCAGCAGCUGCAGUGUGAUAACUGAAUUACAAUGUGUACCUUUCUUGAGCAUCAGAAAUCUCUACAUUGGCCGAGUGCAGUGGCUCAUGCCUGUAAUCCCAGCACUUUGGGAGGCCAAGGCAGGUGGAUCACCCGAGGUCAGGAGUUCGAGACCAGCCUGGCCAACAUGGUGAAACUCCAUCUCUACUAAAAUACAAAAAAUUAGCUGGACAUGGUGGCCGGCGCCUGUAAUCCCAGCUAGCUACUCAGGAGGCUGAGGCAGGAGAAUCGCUUGAACAAAGGAGGCAGAGGUUGCAGUGAGCCGAGAUCAUGUCAUUGCACUCCAGCCUGGGAAACAAGAGCAAAACUCCAUCUCAAAAGAAAAAAGAAAAAAAGAAUUCUCUACGUUGACAACACUCAACCAUGAUAUCUGGACACAAAAGUGCAUUUCUUUCAUUUAGAAGAUGUGUCAAGCAAGCAUUUGCAAAUAAUUGUUUAAUUUUUGUAAGUGGAUAUAUCAAUGCACACACAUUCAUAUAUAUAACAAUUGUAUAUAUGUGUGCAUUAAUGAAUUAUUCUCAAUCACUUGUAUUCUGAUAAGAUUUCUUGUCUAGGAGAAAAAUGCCUUGGAUGGCAAGGGGUACAUAUUUGGGAAUGUUCUCCACAUAUGAGCACAAACUAUCGUAUAUGGCAUCAGGAAAAUGUGACAGAAGAUACUUUGCAAUAUCUUAUUCCUGUUCAUACCAUAAGAUAAGGUUGAGAAUGAGCACAUGAGGAUCCGGACCAGGGGCUAGGUGCUGAGGCCUGCCUACAGACUUCACAGGUCUUGGAUUCUCUAAAGCAUUGGAAUGGCUAUGGGUGAAUAGCUGAGGCCUAUUAGACGAUUUGCACUGAGAAUAACUAGACUGAACAAUAUCACAGAUCACAGACACCUGCAAACGACCAGUCUAAAUUUUUUUUUUUAGACGGAGUCUUACUCUCUUGCCCAGGCUGGAGUGCAGUGGCACGAUCUCGGUGCUCACUGCACCCUCUGCCUCCUGGGUUCAAGCGAUUCUCUUGCCUCAGCCUCCUGAGUAGCUGGGACCACAGAUGCACACCACUAUGCCCAGCUAAUUUUUGAAUUUUUAGUAGAGACA